ensembl:lncRNA
AUGUCCUCGAUAUUAACCUCAGCAUCUUUCAUCAGACAGACUGACAGGCCGGCAGGGAGGGAGACAGGCCGGCAGGGAGGGAGACAGGCCGGCAGGGAGGGAGGGAGGCAGACGGACAGGGAGGGAGGCAGACGGACAGGCCGGCAGGGAGGGAGGCAGACGGAAAGGCCGGCAGGGAGGGAGGGAGGGAGGCAGACAGGCCAGCAGGGAGGCAGACGGACAGGCCGGCAGGGAGGGAGGGAGGCCGGCAGGGAGGCCGGCAGGGAGGCAGACGGACAGGCCGGCAGGGAGGGAGGGAGGCCGGCAGGGAGGGAGGGAGGGAGGCCGGCAGGGAGGGAGGGAGGGAGGCAGGCAGGCAGGGAGGGAGGGAGGCAGGCAGGCAGGGAGGGAGGGAGGGAGGCAGGCAGGGAGGGAGACAGGCCGGCAGGGAGGGAGGGAGGCAGACGGACAGGCCGGCAAGGAGGGAGGCAGGCAGACGGACAGGGAGGGAGACGGACAGGGAGGGAGGCAGACGGACAGGCCGGCAGGGAGGGAGGGAGGCCGACGGACAGGCCGGCAGGGAGGGAGGGAGGCCGACGGACAGGCCGGCAGGGAGGGAGGGAGGCAGACGGACAGGCCGGCAGGGAGGGAGGCAGACGGAAAGGCCGGCAGGGAGGGAGGGAGGGAGGGAGGCAGACAGGCCAGCAGGGAGGCAGACGGACAGGCCGGCAGGGAGGGAGGGAGGCCGGCAGGGAGGCCGGCAGGGAGGCAGACGGACAGGCCGGCAGGGAGGGAGGGAGGCCGGCAGGGAGGGAGGGAGGGAGGCCGGCAGGGAGGGAGGGAGGCAGGCAGGCAGGGAGGGAGGGAGGGAGGCAGGCAGGGAGGGAGGGAGGGAGGGAGGGAGGCAGGGAGGGAGGGAGGGAGGGAGGCAGGCAGGGAGGGAGACAGGCCGGCAGGGAGGGAGGGAGGCAGACGGACAGGCCGGCAAGGAGGGAGGCAGGCAGACGGACAGGGAGGGAGACGGACAGGGAGGGAGGCAGACGGACAGGCCGGCAGGGAGGCCGACGGACAGGCCGGCAGGGAGGGAGGGAGGCCGACGGACAGGCCGGCAGGGAGGGAGGGAGGGAGGCAGACGGACAGGGAGGGAGACGGACAGGGAGGGAGGCAGACGGACAGGCCGGCAGGGAGGGAGGGAGGGAGGGAGGGAGGCCGACGGACAGGCCGGCAGGGAGGGAGGCCGGCAGGGAGGGAGGGAGGGAGGCCGACGGACAGGCCGGCAGGGAGGGAGGGAGGCCGACGGACAGGCCGGCAGGGAGGGAGGGAGGGAGGCAGACGGACAGGGAGGGAGACGGACAGGGAGGGAGGCAGACGGACAGGCCGGCAGGGAGGGAGGGAGGGAGGCCGACGGACAGGCCGGCAGGGAGGGAGGCCGGCAGGGAGGGAGACAGGCCGGCAGGGAGGGAGGGAGGCAGACGGACAGGGAGGGAGGAAGGCAGACGGACAGGCCAGCAGGGAGGGAGGGAGGCAGGCCGGCAGGGAGGGAGGCAGACGGACAGGGAGGGAGGCAGACGUACAGAUGGGGAGGGAGGGAGGCAGACAGACAGAUGGACAGGCCAGCAGGGAGGGAGGCAGACAGACAGAUGGUCCGGAAGACAAUCCUAUAUAUUCCACCUUCUACACUAG